ACGUAGGGUGCGAGCGUUAAUCGGAAUUACUGGGCGUAAAGCGUGCGCAGGCGGUUCGCUAAGACAGGUGUGAAAUCCCCGGGCUUAACCUGGGAAUGGCGCUUGUGACUGGCGGGCUGGAGUACGGGAGAGGGGGGUGGAAUUCCUCGUGUAGCAGUGAAAUGCGUAGAUAUGCGGAGGAACACCGAUGGCGAAGGCAGCCUCCUGGGCCAGUACUGACGCUCAUGCGCGAAAGCGUGGGGAGCAAACAG
rnacentral:rRNA from 1 species